CUACUAUCUAGAUCUACUCUAGUUUAGAGAAGAGAGGAGAGCUCUCAUCUCCAAACCCUAGCUUUUGCUCUGUCUAUGAAUAAUGAAUAAUGAUCAAGGGGUGCCUCCUCCAGGGGCCAGGGGGUCUGGUUAUAUAGUCCCCUCAAGUGAAUCUUGGCCGUCGGAUCAAACCGACACUGAUUGAACGGUUAUUCUUGAUCCUUUAGGUCGGUGGAGCGUAAUCCGCGAAGUUGAACGUGAUUGGCCAAAAUAGGUGGGCGGGCGCCCUAAGGACUUGGGCGGGCGCCCUGUCCCUGAGCCCUCUCGGCUUCCGCUUUGUUCCCAUGGCUUCUGGAGUCUUCUAGAUGAUACAAAAUUGCGCGGCACGUUAAUAUCUCUAUGUAAACAUGACGUGUGGGCCUUUCCUCCAUAUUUCCUGAUAACCCCCUGC
rnacentral:lncRNA from 1 species